rnacentral:rRNA from 1 species
AACGGCGAGUGAAGCGGUAACAGCUCAAAUUUGAAAUCUGGCCUCACGGUCCGAGUUGUAAUUUGUAGAGGAUGCUUCGAGCAUGGUCUGGCCUAAGUUCCUUGGAACAGGACGUCAUAGAGGGUGAGAAUCCCGUAUGCGGCCAGGUGCCUACGCUCAUGUGAAGCUCCUUCGACGAGUCGAGUUGUUUGGGAAUGCAGCUCAAAAUGGGUGGUAAAUUUCAUCUAAAGCUAAAUAUUGGCCAGAGACCGAUAGCGCACAAGUAGAGUGAUCGAAAGAUGAAAAGCACUUUGGAAAGAGAGUUAAACAGUACGUGAAAUUGUUGAAAGGGAAGCGCUUGCAACCAGACUUGCGCGCGGCCGAUCAUCCGGUGUUCUCACCGGUGCACUCGGCCGUGCUCAGGCCAGCAUCGGUUUUGGCGGCUGGAUAAAGGCCCUAGGAAUGUAGCUCCUCUCGGGGAGUGUUAUAGCCUAGGGUGCAAUGCAGCCUGCUGGGACCGAGGACCGCGCUUCGGCUAGGAUGCUGGCGUAAUGGUUGUAAGCGGCCCGUCUUGAAACACGGACCAAGGAGUCUAACAUCUAUGCGAGUGUUUGGGUGUCAAACCCAUACGCGUAAUGAAAGUGAACGGAGGUGAGAACCCUUAAGGGUGCAUCAUCGACCGGUCCUGAAGUUUACGGAAGGAUCUGAGUAAGAGCAUAGCUGUUGGGACCCGAA